rnacentral:tRNA from 1 species
GAGGGUAUAGAUCAGUGGUAGAGCAUUUGACUGUAGAUCAAGAAGUCCCUGGUUCAAAUCCAGGUGCCCCCU